rnacentral:rRNA from 1 species
UUCCAUCUGGAAGAAUCUGGAGACAGGUGCUGCAUGGCUGUCGUCAGCUCGUGUCGUGAGAUGUUGGGUUAAGUCCCGCAACGAGCGCAACCCUUGCCUUUAGUUGCCAGCAGUUCGGCUGGGCACUCUAAAGGGACUGCCGGUGUUAAACCGGAGGAAGUGGGGAUGACGUCAAGUCCUCAUGGCCUUUAUGACCAGGGCUACACACGUACUACAAUGGCCGAUACAAAGGGCAGCGACACUGCGAGGUGGAAGCCAAUCCCGUAAAAUCGGUCUCAGUCCGGAUUGGAGUCUGCAACUCGACUCCAUGAAGUUGGAAUCGCUAGUAAUCGUGGAUCAGCAUGCCACGGUGAAUACGUUCCCGGGCCUU